rnacentral:tRNA from 1 species
GGCGGGUGUGGUGAAGUGGUUAACACAUCAGAUUGUGGCUCUGACAUUCGUGGGUUCGAUUCCCAUCACUCGCCUAUU